GGGACACGUGGUAUCCUGUCUGAAUAUGGGGGGACCAUCCUCCAAGGCUAAAUACUCCUGACUGACCGAUAGUGAACCAGUACCGUGAGGGAAAGGCGAAAAGAACCCCGGCGAGGGGAGUGAAAAAGAACCUGAAACCGUGUACGUACAAGCAGUGGGAGCACCUUCGGGUGUGACUGCGUACCUUUUGUAUAAUGGGUCAGCGACUUAUAUUCUGUAGCAAGGUUAACCGUAUAGGGGAGCCGCAGGGAAACCGAGUCUUAACUGGGCGUUAAGUUGCAGGGUAUAGACCCGAAACCCGGUGAUCUAGCCAUGGGCAGGUUGAAGGUUGGGUAACACUAACUGGAGGACCGAACCGACUAAUGUUGAAAAAUUAGCGGAUGACUUGUGGCUGGGGGUGAAAGGCCAAUCAAACCGGGAGAUAGCUGGUUCUCCCCGAAAGCUAUUUAGGUAGCGCCUCGUGAACUCAUCUUCGGGGGUAGAGCACUGUUUCGGCUAGGGGGUCAUCCCGACUUACCAACCCGAUGCAAACUACGAAUACCGAAGAAUGUUAUCACGGGAGACACACGGCGGGUGCUAACGUCCGUCGUGAAGAGGGAAACAACCCAGACCGCCAGCUAAGGUCCCAAAGUCAUGGUUAAGUGGGAAACGAUGUGGGAAGGCACAGACAGCCAGGAUGUUGGCUUAGAAGCAGCCAUCAUUUAAAGAAAGCGUAAUAGCUCACUGGUCGAGUCGGCCUGCGCGGAAGAUGUAACGGGGCUAAACCAUGCACCGAAGCUGCGGCAGCGACACUAUGUGUUGUUGGGUAGGGGAGCGUUCUGUAAGCCUGCGAAGGUGUGCUGUGAGGCAUGCUGGAGGUAUCAGAAGUGCGAAUGCUGACAUAAGUAACGAUAAAGCGGGUGAAAAGCCCGCUCGCCGGAAGACCAAGGGUUCCUGUCCAACGUUAAUCGGGGCAGGGUGAGUCGACCCCUAAGGCGAGGCCGAAAGGCGUAGUCGAUGGGAAACAGGUUAAUAUUCCUGUACUUGGUGUUACUGCGAAGGGGGGACGGAGAAGGCUAUGUUAGCCGGGCGACGGUUGUCCCGGUUUAAGCAUGUAGGCUGGUUAUCCAGGCAAAUCCGGAUAACCAAGGCUGAGGUGUGAUGACGAGGCACUACGGUGCUGAAGUAACAAAUGCCCUGCUUCCAGGAAAAGCCUCUAAGCAUCAGGUAACAUCAAAUCGUACCCCAAACCGACACAGGUGGUCAGGUAGAGAAUACCAAGGCGCUUGAGAGAACUCGGGUGAAGGAACUAGGCAAAAUGGUGCCGUAACUUCGGGAGAAGGCACGCUGGUGUGUAGGUGAAGUCCCUGCGG
rnacentral:rRNA from 1 species